UCUUCAGUAAAAUAUCCAUGGUUAUACACAUAUUUUCAUUUUGAUUGUGUUCAUUAAACUCGAUAAUUUUUUUGCAAAAAAUCGAUUAUAAAUUAAAAAGAGGCCUUAAAAACGAGUAUUUGUGCAUUGGUCCGUCUGGGACAAUGUCUAAGCUAGUUUCUUCACUGGGCCAGGACAACAAAAAAGCCCAGUAGUAGUCAGUUGGGCUCCAAGAAGAAGUAUAGAUUGGGCCUGAAGCCUAUCCCUUUAAUAUAAGGGAACCCUAAUGCUAAACCCUAAACCUACCAAUGCCUAUAAGUAGAACAGCUUCAUUAUAUCAAUGACCUACUUUUUCUGCCAAGGAGCCAAUUUAUCAAGAUUCUUCACCAAAAAAAGACACAAUCAAACCCAAGCUCAAAAACUCAAUCGACCAAGAGAAUAUCAAGGACCAUAUUCACUGAUGGGGUAUUUUGGCUCGCUGAUGUGACCAAGCUAGGAGACAGAAGGACAUGGGAGAGAGAAUCUAAUUAUUGAUGAUCCAUCUGUAUCAGCAAGCUAAUACAUUAUCCAGAGAACAUGACACGACAUUUAAGCAAGAACUUAAGCAAGAUUAGAAUUAAAUGGAGUAAAAGGUUUGAGAAUCGAGCAACUACUUAUGUAUAAACAACUACAAUUAGUACUGCAAUACCUUUCCCUUCUAAGACUGAUUUGCAAAUAUGGUUUGCAUGUACUUUACUUUUUGAAUGUAUAAUAUGACAGAGACAAGUAUUAGAGAAUGUUACCGCAAGAA